UAUGCAUCGCAAAUAGAGAUCGGGUUCAAUGCGUCGGGUGUGGGAUUCACUCAAUAUUAUAUGCUGAGCGCGAAAGUUGAUAUCAACAGACGCCAUGAUGUGAUACCGGUAAACAUCUUGAACAUGAAUCGAGAACAGGAGUUGAUGCAGAUAUUCUGAGGAGAAUCUUCCAAUCAUUGAAAUAUAUUUCAUGAUAGUCGUGAAGAUACAGAAGUUGUGAUGGUGUGUUGAUAGGCUGUCUUCAACUUGCCAUAUCUGAGAGUUCCAACAUGCAGGCCUGGAUUAAUGUUUUAUCACAACAAAUGGAUGGGACAGUAGAGUUGUUGCGGACAAUAUGUGAUUGUGAUGACCAAGUACUGAACAAGUGGAAGAUUAGAAGAAGGUCCAGAAUUCAAUCAUGUUUUUGAUUCUAAGGCACAGACAGCAUGGAGAUAGUCCUAUUAUUCUCCCAUUCAUCUAUGAUGGAGAAACUUGUGUAAAUGUUUACAGUGUUCUCCCUAAUAAGUGCUCACAAGUCUGUAUUAAUUUAUCAGAAUAUAAAGUACUGACUUUAAAAUUCAUGUAGAUUGUCUCCAGAUUUUUCUGAGGAAAAGUGCAUAGUUUACAUGUGUGAAUUUUGAAUAUAUUUCAUUCUUGUCUGCAAAUGUUGCCGAAACCUGUUAUUGAUGCACAAUGCACAUAGUCAUGUUAUGCAAAUGAUAGACCUCCUUUUUAUUUACAUGUCCUUAAGAUCAUGUCAACUCCUUUGUCUUAAUUGUAUAUACAAUUCUAGCAUUUAUAGCAUCAUUUGUAUAGCACUUGCUAGUUUAAUAAGGAUUUUAUUUUUUAAAAACUUUCAUUUGACAUGAUUGAUCUAAAUCGGCCAAAAUUCACAAAUCUAUUUAAAUCACAACCUGACCUUAGGCCAGAAAAGUGCCACAGUGGGUUGAUAUUUUUCUCUUGGAUCUUGAAAGAAAUUCUUUAUGCAGCAGUUUCCAAAUAAAAUGUACUCUCAUGGCCAGGGUGGGACUUCACCGAGAACUUUUUAACAUUGCACAAUGCAAUAUUUGUGGAUUAGAAGCUGUUGCAGUUUCUUUAAGUUUUCUCUCACAUCUUGUUAUAAUUAUAUUUUAUAUUUUUGGUCGGGUUGCACAAUGUGCAAACAGUUUAUAAAAUAAUGAAUGACUGGUGGGCAAGCGACAAUAGCGUCCCUGUAAUAGUACCUACUUUGUGUAAUCAACUCCUUUCACACCUCUCACUUGAUGUUCCUCAAACUUUGUACAGUUGUUAGAGAUACAUUGAAGAUGUGCGUGUACCUUUUUGAAAGUGAUCAGACAUUUUUUGAAAAAUUUACUUGUAGUUAAACUUCGUCAUUUUUUAAGCAUUUCUUUAAUCGACAGUACCUAUUUUGUGUAAUCAACUCCUCGUAUACCUCUAAUUUGACAUUCCUUAAACUGUGUACAGUUGUUAUGAACACAUUGAAGAUGUGCAUGCGUCUUUUUGAAAAUGAUUAGACUUUUUUUUUUUUAAAUUACGUGUAGUUGAACUUGGUCAUUUUUUAUGCAUUUCUUGAAUAGAUGGUACCUAUUUUGUGUGAUCAACUCAUGCACAUCUAAAUUGAUAUUCCUCAAACUUUGUACAGUAUUUAUGGACACAUUGAAGAUGUGCAUGUGUCUUUUUGAAAGUGAUCAGACUUUUUUCAAAAAAAUUACAUUUAGUUGAACUUUGUCAUUUUUUUAAAGCAUUUCCUGAAUAGAUGGUACCUAUUUUUUGUAAUUAACUCCUCUUACAGCAUUUAUUUGACAUUCUUCAGACCUUGAACAGCUGUUAUGGAAGCAUUGGAAAUGUGCAUGUGUCUUUUCGGAAGUGAUCAGGCAUUCUUUGAAAAAUUUACAUGUGCAUGGUGAAGUUGAACUUAGUUAUUUUUUAAGCAUGGUACUUUAUGUAACCAACUCAGCUUUUACUUAACAUUUUCCAGACCCUGUACAUUAUAGAUGUUAUAAAAACAUUGAAGAUACAUGUUAACAUUUUAAAAAUGCUUCUCUUUUUUUUCUUUUUUUUUUUUUGGUUGAAAAAUUCUACCUUUAAUUUGUCAUUUUUCCAGUAUGUUUCUACUGUUGUUCCUAUGAUAGAUAACAUAUUUUACAAGAACCUGGUCAUUUCUGUUUUUGAAUCUCUCUUUUUUUAAUUAGUAUUUUUGAAUAUAUGUUAAUUACUUGAUAUGUCAUUGUUCUUGAAAUUAUAUUAAUUAAAUUAUUAUUGUGUUUUUGUUUUGUAAUAUGACAGUUUAUAUAGGAUCCCUUAAUUUCGAGCAAACAGUGUCAGAAGUGUGCCGCAAGUUUGCUGCAAACUGUGUGCCAGAAGUGUGCAGCAAGAGUGUGCCGCAAGUUUGCCGCAAACUGUGUGCCAGACGAAAAAUUUGCAUAUGAAAAGUAUACUUGCGGCAAAUAUGCCGCACACUGUGUACCAGAAGUGUGCAGCAAGUGUGUGCCGCAAGUUUGCUGCAAACUGUGUGCCAGAGGAAAAAUUUGCAUACGAAAAGUAUACUUGCGGCAAAUAUGCCGCACACUGUGCCAGAAGUGUGCAGCAAGUGUGUGCUGCAACUGUGCCACAAACUGUGUGCCAGAGGAAAAAUUUGCAUACGAAAAGUGUACUUGCGGCAAAUGUGCCGCAACUAGUUGCGGCAAACUUGCCGCAAAUGCGCUGCAAAUUUGCAGCAACUGUGUGCCAGAGGGCUUAUAUUUUGGUAAGGGAUAUAUACAUGAGCCAUAACCCAGCAUCAAUGGAACCAAAGGAGGUUGAGGGAUUUUGUUGUUGUUGGACUGAACACCUAUCGUACUCGAGCCGGUUAGAACUAGUUACGAUCAUGUGCUAUGCGAAUGGCAUGAAUAUAUUUUUUAGAUGCCCUGGAUGUCAGAAGGGUGUCUAGCUAAAUAUAUACUUGCGAAUAUCAAAAAUCCAUCUAUGGAGUUAUGAAUCGUGGGAAUUUUGUUAUGUUUGAUGAUGGGUUCGAGAAUUAAUUGACCUUGUAUGAUUGAAAAUUUGUGUGUAUCAUGGUUGUUGUGUGAUUGUGAAUUGAAGAGUUAAGAUAAAUUGACAUAAUGCUUUGCCCAAAUUUUAUCUUUGAUGGCUUGAGAAAUGUGAGCCCCAAGUUCAUCAGUAAUGCUUGUAAUAACAAGAUGCGUUUGUAAAACAUACAUGUAUAUGCCCCCAUGGUGCAAAAUUGAAAACGGGUAUACAUGUGCCUAAUUUGAUUGAUAGUAGUAUCACCAAUUCGAAAUAGAGCAGACAAUAUCUUCCAAUGUCAGGAGUGGAUUGACCAAGUGAUCAAAUAUCAAUGGGGGUCAUCUACUUCUUAUGCUGUACCAGAUUUGGUGUCAGUAAAGCGAAUAAUUCUUAAAAUUAGGAAACAAUUAAACAUUGACCACGUGACCUCAAAAUCAAUAGGGGUCAUCUUCUCCUUAAGAUGUACCACAUUUGAUGUCUGUCAAGCAAAGAGUUCUCAAGAUAUUGAUUGGACAAUAUAUUUCUAUGUCCAGUUUGACCAUGUGACCUCAAAAUCAAUAGGGUUAUCUACUCUUUGGGAUGUACCAGUGUACUAAGUUUGAUGUCUGUCAAGCAAAGGAUUCUCAAGAUAUUGAGCAGACUAGGUAUUCCUAUGUCCAGAGAAGAUUGACCCUUGAACAGAAAAACAAUAGGGGUCCUCGUCAACUCAUAACCAAGUUAACAACUCCCAUAUGAAAUAUCAUUACGAUGAAGUAAUUGGUGAUAUUGAGCGGGCAACACAUAGUCUGCCAACCAUCAGGUGCAAACUAAUAUAUGCCCCUCUUCCUUGAAAGGAGGGGGGGGGGGGGGCGCAUAAUAAUUAUAUUAUAAUAAAUAACCAUUAAGCACUGCACACAAUAACAUUGAUACAGCGUGUUAUUAAAGUAGUAAAUGGAAAUUACCAUAGCAUUAAGGCAGGUAAUAUCAAAACAAUGCUAGCAAAACAUCAAUAAUAUGAAAUAAAAUUACGAAAAUUAUAAACAUGCUGUGCGUUAAGAAAGGGGAUUUUCACCUGUUAUGAAGGGUGUCGCCGGUGGGUGUGUGCACGUGGGUGCGGUGGUUUCCGCGAUUAGACUGGGAGGCUAACUUUGUGAUUAAAUGAUAGCUGUGUCCUGUAUGCCCAUCUGAUUCUCCUCUUGGGGUUGACUUGAUGUCGGACGGGGCUGAAUCCGGGUUGUAAUUGCAGGGGUCAGAUUCUGUGUGGGCAAUGACCGAAGAGCUGGAUGUUGUGCCGGUCAAGCGUAAGGCGAUUUAGAUGGUCGCUUGGUACGUCGCAACAUUUUCGCAGUUUAGAUAUGUUUUUACUAUAACCAAAUAUAAGGUGAAUCAGUCGAGGACGGGGUGAUGGUGUUGAAUUGAAAUUCCAGAUCUGUUCAAUUUGGAUUUUCGUUGACAUGCAACUCGAAAAGGACCGACAAAUAGCGCUUGCGCACUAUAUAUACCCAGGGAUUAGAAAGAGGGAAAGUGUCAUAAUAGGUAUUUGGGGGGAUAGUGUCAAAACCGCGCAAUUCAAUUGAUUGCAAGAAUUAUGUUUCUUUGCCUGAACAACAAAUACUUGUUCUGUUCAUAUCAAUAACAGGACUUAACUCAUAGUGAGUUAAGUCGGAUUAACUACGAUGUCCCGAGGGAAAAAGGGAUAAAAAAGCGUUUACUAUAUUAAUCAGUGUAAUCAUAUGAAAUAACC